UAGAAGCUUGCUUCUAUGACGUUAGCGGCGGACGGGUGAGUAACACGUGGGCAACCUGCCUGUAAGACUGGGAUAACUUCGGGAAACCGAAGCUAAUACCGGAUAGGAUCUUCUCCUUCAUGGGAGAUGAUUGAAAGAUGGUUUCGGCUAUCACUUACAGAUGGGCCCGCGGUGCAUUAGCUAGUUGGUGAGGUAACGGCUCACCAAGGCAACGAUGCAUAGCCGACCUGAGAGGGUGAUCGGCCACACUGGGACUGAGACACGGCCCAGACUCCUACGGGAGGCAGCAGUAGGGAAUCUUCCGCAAUGGACGAAAGUCUGACGGAGCAACGCCGCGUGAGUGAUGAAGGCUUUCGGGUCGUAAAACUCUGUUGUUAGGGAAGAACAAGUACAAGAGUAACUGCUUGUACCUUGACGGUACCUAACCAGAAAGCCACGGCUAACUACGUGCCAGCAGCCGCGGUAAUACGUAGGUGGCAAGCGUUAUCCGGAAUUAUUGGGCGUAAAGCGCGCGCAGGCGGUUUCUUAAGUCUGAUGUGAAAGCCCACGGCUCAACCGUGGAGGGUCAUUGGAAACUGGGGAACUUGAGUGCAGAAGAGAAAAGCGGAAUUCCACGUGUAGCGGUGAAAUGCGUAGAGAUGUGGAGGAACACCAGUGGCGAAGGCGGCUUUUUGGUCUGUAACUGACGCUGAGGCGCGAAAGCGUGGGGAGCAAACAGGAUUAGAUACCCCUGGGUAGUCCACG
rnacentral:rRNA from 1 species